UACAGAGGGUGCGAGCGUUAAUCGGAAUUACUGGGCGUAAAGGGCGCGUAGGCGGUUGCUCAAGUGAGAUGUGAAAUCCCCGGGCUUAACCUGGGAACUGCAUCUUAGACUGAGUGACUGGAGUACUGUAGAGGAUAGUGGAAUUUCCGGUGUAGCGGUGAAAUGCGUAGAGAUCGGAAGGAACACCAGUGGCGAAGGCGACUGUCUGGACAGAUACUGACGCUGAGGCGCGAAAGCGUGGGGAGCAAACAGG
rnacentral:rRNA from 2 species